GCCCCGUUCGUCUAAUGGCAGGACGCCAGUCUUCCAAACUGGAAAUGAGGGUCCAACUCCCUCACGGGGCACCA
rnacentral:tRNA from 1 species